GACGAACGCUGGCGGCGUGCCUAAUACAUGCAAGUCGAACGCAGUGGGGACGGGUGAGUAACACGUGGGUAACCUCCCAUCAGAGGGGAUUACACUUGGAAACAGGUGCUAAACCGAUACUGAUGGAUGAACCCGCGGUGCAUUAGCUGGUUGGGGAGGUAACGGCUCACCAGGGCCACGAUGCAUAGCCGACCUGCGGGGGUGAUGGGCCAGAAUAGGCCUGGGAAAAGGCCAAGACUCCAACGGGAGGAAGCAGUAAGGAGACUUCGGAAAUGGACGAAAGUCUUACCGAGCAACGCCGCGUCGGAGAAGAAGUUUAUCGGAUCGUAAAGAUCUGUUGUUAGAGAAGCGGUAUCUAACCAGAAAGCCACGGCUAACUACGUGCCAGCCGCCGCGGUAAUAC
rnacentral:rRNA from 1 species